rnacentral:lncRNA from 1 species
GGGAGGGGUUACAGUCAGAUUUCUAGGUUGGGAAGGUCCUUCCCUGUGGAGAUUUCCUAGCAUUUGGCAAGAUGAGACUCUCCCUUCAAAUAUAGAAGUAUUCCUGGCAGCAAUCCUCAGUGUGGGCUGCUCUGAGCAGCAGAGGAUGUUGUCAUGCGAGAAACAGAGAGCACAAGUCUCAGUUGAAAGUCUCCUGGAACUUUGAGAUUGGGCCAAGAUGCAUUUGCCAGUCAAAUUUGAGACCGUAGGACUAUGUUGUGUGAGGUACAGCACACAGGAAGCCUCUGUUCCUGCUACUGGCUUUGCUCUGGAGGCAAUCAGCUCCCCACUCUCGGCUCAAGUGGUGCUGGCCUGCACUGCAUCCAGGAGUUGUUACCAGUCCUUCUGGUUACGUAAGUCUGGCAGUCAUUCUCCACAGCUGGAGGGGCUGU